GUGAAUCAUCAAAUCUUUGAACGCAAAUUGCACUCUCUUCUAAGAUUAUGCCUGUUUGAGGGUCGGCCUAAAAAAAAUCGACAUAGUCGCUGUUUCGCGGUGUCAUUCGUCAGACAUUGGGUCGUCUUCAAACUUUGAGUUUUAAGCGGCUUAAAAUUUUCUUUACGAGUCCACGAACUUUUCUAAGAUUUACUUCUUCCCCCUUUAA
rnacentral:misc_RNA from 1 species